AGGAUGAACGCUAGCGGCAGGCCUAAUACAUGCAAGUCGAACGGGGUUCAGCAGCAAUGUUGAGCUUAGUGGCGCACGGGUGCGUAACGCGUAUGCAACCUACCCUUGACUGGGGCAUAGCCUUCCGAAAGGGAGAUUAACACCGCAUAAGAUCGGCUACUGGCAUCAGUUGGCGAUUAAAUCUACGGAGGUCGAGGAUGGGCAUGCGUCCGAUUAGCUAGUUGGCGGGGUAGUGGCCCACCAAGGCGACGAUC
rnacentral:rRNA from 1 species